rnacentral:rRNA from 1 species
CCGGUACUCAGUUCGGAUCGCAGUCUGCAACUCGACUGCGUGAAGGUGGAGUCGCUAGUAAUCGCGGAUCAGCAACGCCGCGGUGAAUGCGUUCCCGGGCCUUGUACACACCGCCCGUCAAGUCAUGAAAGUGGGCAGCACCCGAAGACGGUGGCCUAACCCUUGUGGGGGGAGCCGUCUAAGGUGAGGCUCGUGAUUGGGACUAAGUCGUAACAAGGUAAC